CCCUUAGAUGUUCUGGGCCGCACGCGCGCUACACUGACGAUGGCAACGAGUUUUUCCUUCGCCGAAAGGUGUGGGUAAUCUUUUGAAACAGCGUCGUGCUGGGGAUAGAUCAUUGCAAUUUUUGAUCUUGAACGAGGAAUUCCUAGUAAGCGCGAGUCAUCAGCUCGCGUUGAUUACGUCCCUGCCCUUUGUACACACCGCCCGUCGCUACUACCGAUUGAAUGGUUUAGUGAGGACUCCUGAUUGGCGCCGCCGCCCCGGCAACGGAGCAGCGGACUGCCGAAAAGUUGUUCAAACUUGAUCAUUUAGAGGAAGUAAAAGUCGUAACA
rnacentral:rRNA from 1 species